CCUACGGGGGGCAGCAGUGAGGAAUAUUGGUCAAUGGGCGCGAGCCUGAACCAGCCACGUAGCGUGAAGGAUGACUGCCCUACGGGUUGUAAACUUCUUUUAUAAAGGAAUAAAGUGAGGCACGUGUGCCUUUUUGUAUGUACUUUAUGAAUUAGGAUCGGCUAACUCCGUGCCAGCAGCCGCGGUAAUACGGAGGAUCCGAGCGUUAUCCGGAUUUAUUGGGUGUAAAGGGAGCGUAGAUGGGUUGUUAAGUCAGUUGUGAAAGUUUGCGGCUCAACCGUAAAAUUGCAAGUGAUACGGGAAGUCUUGAGUACAGUUGAGGUAGGCGGAAUUCGCGGUGUAGCGGUGAAAUGCUUAGAUAUCACGAAGAACUCCGAUGGCGAAGGCAGUUUACUAAACUGCAACUGACAUUGAGGCUCGAAAGUGUGGGUAUCAAACAGGAUUAGAUACCCCUGUAGUC
rnacentral:rRNA from 1 species